UAUUAACUGCUGGGCCCUUCCUCCAAUAC
rnacentral:piRNA from 1 species